AUGGAGGUGAUUGAAGUGGUUUUAGCAGGCUGUUUUUUUGCAGGGGAAACAACAAGGUUGUUUGAUACCGAUUUUAUGUGCUGGUUUGAUGUAAGGCUUUGGACUAUUGCUUGGUAUUGGUUUUGCAGGUCUUUGGCUUUGUAUGCUUGGGUGAUGUUUUCCAAACCGUCUCUUUCUCUUUUUCCUCUUUCAAUGAAAAUAAACAAAUUUUGUUUACUUAUUGAAACUCUGAAGGAUUUGCCACAUUAG